rnacentral:tRNA from 1 species
UGCUAUAGCUCAGUAGGUAGAGCGCAGCAUUGGUAGUGCUGAGGUCACCGGUUCAAAUCCGGUUAGC